UCUUUUGGAUGAGCAAAGAAAGUGGUUUUUUUGAGCUGGAAUCUACUCCUGGUGAAGAUGCUGUGAA
rnacentral:pre_miRNA from 1 species